ACCCUUUAAUGUUUGAUGUUCUAACGUGGACCCGUGAUCCGGGUUGCGGACAGUGUCUGGUGGGUAGUUUGACUGGGGCGGUCUCCUCCUAAAGAGUAACGGAGGAGCACGAAGGUUGGCUAAUCCUGGUCGGACAUCAGGAGGUUAGUGCAAUGGCAUAAGCCAGCUUGACUGCGAGCGUGACGGCGCGAGCAGGUGCGAAAGCAGGUCAUAGUGAUCCGGUGGUUCUGAAUGGAAGGGCCAUCGCUCAACGGAUAAAAGGUACUCCGGGGAUAACAGGCUGAUACCGCCCAAGAGUUCAUAUCGACGGCGGUGUUUGGCACCUCGAUGUCGGCUCAUCACAUCCUGGGGCUGAAGUAGGUCCCAAGGGUAUGGCUGUUCGCCAUUUAAAGUGGUACGCGAGCUGGGUUUAGAACGUCGUGAGACAGUUCGGUCCCUAUCUGCCGUGGGCGCUGGAGAACUGAGGGGGGCUGCUCCUAGUACGAGAGGACCGGAGUGGACGCAUCACUGGUGUUCGGGUUGUCAUGCCAAUGGCACUGCCCGGUAGCUAAAUGCGGAAGAGAUAAGUG
rnacentral:rRNA from 2 species